AUUGAACGCUGGCGGCAUGCCUUACACAUGCAAGUCGAACGGCAGCACGGGAGCAAUCCUGGUGGCGAGUGGCGAACGGGUGAGUAACAUAUCGGAACGUGCCCGGUAGUGGGGGAUAACCCGGCGAAAGUCGGACUAAUACCGCAUACGACCUACGGGUGAAAGCGGGGGAUCGCAAGACCUCGCGCUAUUGGAGCGGCCGAUAUCAGAUUAGCUAGUUGGUGGGGUAAAGGCCUACCAAGGCGACGAUCUGUAGCUGGUCUGAGAGGACGACCAGCCACACUGGGACUGAGACACGGCCCAGACUCCUACGGGAGGCAGCAGUGGGGAAUAUUGGACAAUGGGGGCAACCCUGAUCCAGCCAUGCCGCGUGUGUGAAGAAGGCCUGCGGGUUGUAAAGCACUUUCAGUGGGAAGAACAGAUUCGGGUCAAUACCCCGGAGCCCUGACGUUACCCACAGAAGAAGCACCGGCUAACUCCGUGCCAGCAGCCGCGGUAAAG
rnacentral:rRNA from 1 species